rnacentral:rRNA from 1 species
AGCGAACGCUGGCGGCAGGCCUAACACAUGCAAGUCGAACGAACUCUUCGGAGUUAGUGGCGGACGGGUGAGUAACACGUGGGAACGUGCCUUUAGGUUCGGAAUAACUCAGGGAAACUUGUGCUAAUACCGAAUGUGCCCUUCGGGGGAAAGAUUUAUCGCCUUUAGAGCGGCCCGCGUCUGAUUAGCUAGUUGGUGAGGUAAAGGCUCACCAAGGCGACGAUCAGUAGCUGGUCUGAGAGGAUGAUCAGCCACUUUGGGACUGAGACACGGCCCAAACUCCUACGGGAGGCAGCAGUGGGGAAUCUUGCGCAAUGGGCGAAAGCCUGACGCAGCCAUGCCGCGUGAAUGAUGAAGGUCUUAGGAUUGUAAAAUUCUUUCACCGGGGACGAUAAUGACGGUACCCGGAGAAGAAGCCCCGGCUAACUUCGUG